UACGUAGGGUGCAAGCGUUGUCCGGAAUUAUUGGGCGUAAAGAGCUCGUAGGCGGUUUGUCGCGUCGAAUGUGAAAACCCGGGGCUCAACCCCGGGCCUGCAUUCGAUACGGGCAGACCAGAGUUCGGUAGGGGAGUCUGGAAUUCCUGGUGUAGCGGUGAAAUGCGCAGAUAUCAGGAGGAACACCGGUGGCGAAGGCGGGACUCUGGGCCGAUACUGACGCUGAGGAGCGAAAGCGUGGGGAGCAAACAGG
rnacentral:rRNA from 1 species